rnacentral:rRNA from 1 species
UGCUGGAGGUAUCAGAAGUGCGAAUGCUGACAUGAGUAACGAUAAAGGGAGUGAAAAACUCCCUCGCCGGAAGACCAAGGGUUCCUGUCCAACGUUAAUCGGGGCAGGGUAAGUCGACUCCUAAGGCGAGGCCGAAAGGCGUAGUCGAUGGGAAACGGGUUAAUAUUCCCGUACUUCUUACAAUUGCGAUGGGGGGACGGAGAAGGCUAGGUGGGCCUGGCGACGGUUGUCCAGGUUCAAGUACGUAGGCGGAAAGUUUAGGUAAAUCCGGACUUUCAUUAACGCUGAGAUACGAUGUCGAGCUACUACGGUAGUGAAGUCAUUGAUGCCAUGCUUCCAGGAAAAGCCUCUAAGCUUCAGAUUGUAAGGAAUCGUACCCCAAACCGACACAGGUGGUCGGGUAGAGAAUACCAAGGCGCUUGAGAGAACUCGGGUGAAGGAACUAGGCAAAAUGGUACCGUAACUUCGGGAGAAGGUACGCUCUUAUCAGUGAAGUCCCUUGCGGAUGGAGCAGACGAGAGUCGCAGAUACCAGGUGGCUGCAACUGUUUAUUAAAAACACAGCACUGUGCAAAAUCGUAAGAUGACGUAUACGGUGUGACGCCUGCCCGGUGCCGGAAGGUUAAUUGAUGGGGUUAG